rnacentral:rRNA from 1 species
CCUACGGGUGGCUGCAGUAAGGAAUAUUGGUCAAUGGACGCAAGUCUGAACCAGCCAUGCCGCGUGGAGGAUGAAGGUCCUCUGGAUUGUAAACUUCUUUUAUUUGGGAAGAAACUCCCGAUUUCCAUCGGGAUUGACGGUACCAGAUGAAUAAGCACCGGCUAACUCCGUGCCAGCAGCCGCGGUAAUACGGCGGGUGCCGGAGUUAUUCGGAUUCAAGGGUGCGUAGGUGGGCAUGUAUGGCAGGGGUGAAAUCUCCGGGCUUAACCCGGAAACUGCCAUUGAUACUAUUUGUCUUGAAUACUCUGGAGGUGAGCGGAAUAUGUCAUGUAGCGGUGAAAUGCUUAGAUAUGACAUAGAACACCCAUUGCGAAGGCAGCUCACUACGGAAAUAUUGACGCUGAGGCACGAAAGCGUGGGGAUCAAACAGGAUUAGAUACCCCUGUAGUC